rnacentral:rRNA from 2 species
CAUUGGCUUGCGGGUGCUAUAAUGCAGUCGAGCGACUGAUUAGAAGCUUGCUUCUAUGACGUUAGCGGCGGACGGGUGAGUAACACGUGGGCAACCUGCCUGUAAGACUGGGAUAACUUCGGGAAACCGAAGCUAAUACCGGAUAGGAUCUUCUCCUUCAUGGGAGAUGAUUGAAAGAUGGUUUCGGCUAUCACUUACAGAUGGGCCCGCGGUGCAUUAGCUAGUUGGUGAGGUAACGGCUCACCAAGGCAACGAUGCAUAGCCGACCUGAGAGGGUGAUCGGCCACACUGGGACUGAGACACGGCCCAGACUCCUACGGGAGGCAGCAGUAGGGAAUCUUCCGCAAUGGACGAAAGUCUGACGGAGCAACGCCGCGUGAGUGAUGAAGGCUUUCGGGUCGUAAAACUCUGUUGUUAGGGAAGAACAAGUACGAGAGUAACUGCUCGUACCUUGACGGUACCUAACCAGAAAGCCACGGCUAACUACGUGCCAGCAGCCGCGGUAAUACGUAGGUGGCAAGCGUUAUCCGGAAUUAUUGGGCGUAAAGCGCGCGCAGGCGGUUUCUUAAGUCUGAUGUGAAAGCCCACGGCUCAACCGU